rnacentral:rRNA from 1 species
GAUGAACGCUAGCGACAGGCCUAACACAUGCAAGUCGAGGGGCAGCACAUGAGUAGCAAUACGAUGGUGGCGACCGGCGCACGGGUGAGUAACACGUAUGCAACCUACCUGUAAGAGGGGAAUAACCCGGAGAAAUUCGGACUAACACCGCAUAAUACCUCGAAGCUGCAUGGCUUUGAGGUUAAAUAUUUAUAGCUUACAGAUGGGCAUGCGUAACAUUAGAUAGUUGGUGAGGUAACGGCUCACCAAGUCAACGAUGUUUAGGGGUUCUGAGAGGAAGGUCCCCCACACUGGUACUGAGACACGGACCAGACUCCUACGGGAGGCAGCAGUGAGGAAUAUUGGUCAAUGGGCGAGAGCCUGAACCAGCCAAGUCGCGUGAAGGAAGAAGGUUCUAUGGAUUGUAAACUUCUUUUGUAAGGGAAUAAAAGAGUUACGUGUAACUUAUUGUAUGUACUUUACGAAUAAGGAUCGGCUAACUCCGUGCCAGCAGCCGCGGUAAAAU